AAUAAACUAGACUCCUUCAAUUCGUGGCUACAUCAAUCUCAACGCCAACCACAUAGCAUGCAUUUCAUUCAUUAAGGCUACUCCCAAUGCUUCAUCUUAUACAGGUGCUAAGGCUGUCACAUAUGCAAAAAAAUCUGAUGUUGCAAGCUAAUUAAUAGAAGAGAGAUGAGUGUGGUGAUCCAGGAAGAAACAAUGCUAAACGCGUGAACUUAGGUAAAACAAUUAAAUGAAAUAAAUGCAUCAAUGCAUGUACAACUUUAGUUGCAAAAAUAUUAAAUAAGGAGGCUUAGCUAUAAUAAGCUAAGCAACUAUGCAUUGAAGACUUUGGUUGCUAAACUAUUCAACGUGCUUAGCACCUCAUCUUAGCACCAAUUGCAAUGCAUUGGAAGUGACCUAAUAAGAUUCUCAAUCAUUAACUAACAGCCACGUUUCGUUUUUUUUUGUACCUCACACAUGUAUGCAUGCAUCAGCUAGUGUUUUUUCCUUUGAUCUACCAGGCCAUACCGUCUUCCCGGAUCUCUUCUACAUUUCCAGACCAACAACCAGCUCGAUUGGUUUUUCACAUGGUUACGAGAUAUCCUACCUGGAUUUCUCACUAUGCCCCAAACAAAUUGGGUCAGCAGAAAGGAAAAUAAAAGAUUACAUAGCACUGCCCAAACGAGCGAGUUAUGCAUACAUCGGUCUCUAGGUCUAGCUCAAGGAGAAGGGCACAGAAAAGCCACAGAUCAUUGGUGGCCAUUCUGGAUUUGGAACACCUUGCAAGUGGAAACACCGUGUCAUUUAUGUACCUCCAAGGCGAUGUACAGAGUUCCGUCAAGGAUAACGUCGGCUGGCCUUGAAACAUGCUGGAAAGGCCAAGUAAGUGUAGUCGCCGACCCUCGCACCAGCAGGAACCUUUGCCGAGUCUCGAUCUUUUGCAAUCCAACAUAGCCUGCAGUUCCGGGUGUCUCCCAAGCCUACAUUACGAGCGGCCAGCGCAUCUGUGAGACAUUCAUUUUUCAUAUGUGUGUCAAAGCGCUACUAUAUACUACCAGUAUUUAUGUAAAAUAUAGCUGUCUGUGUGCUAGCUUCAUUAGAUUUUGUGGAGAGAAAUGGGUGAAGCAAAGGUGCUAUAUAUUGAGUCACAUAAUAGUACUUCAAAGCAUGAUAGGUUGCUCUCAUAAUGAAAUGGUUGCUCUCAUUAUGAUGGAAUGAGCCAUGAACUAGAGCGUGAUAGGUUGCUUUCACUAUUACAAGACUCGCUUCCUGGUCAUUCAGCCAAAAUUAUAACUAUUAUUUUCUCUCGCAACGGCGCACCUACCCACUUUGUCAGUCAUCUUAGAGCAUGUGAAACCUGGAGAAAUGAAGUAGUUGCCUACUUGUAGUAAUUCCUUGCAGGAGGAUGGAGAACUUGAUUCUUCUUUCUGAAAAUAGUAUAGAUCGUGGAACCUCAUAUGAGGACACAUAUAAUCACCAUCUAUGAACACACAUGCCACAUAUUCAACAACACACCGUGUCCCGUUCACAGAAUAGUGC
rnacentral:lncRNA from 1 species